AAAGUCAGUGAGUCCUUUAUAGUGGCAGGAAGAAACGAUGCUCCUGAAAUUCUCAGUGUUGAUCCUUUGGAUUCAAUUAGCAUGGAAGAGCACCCAGCAGCUAGAGCAGAGUCCUCAGUUUCUAAGCAUCCAGGAGGGAGAUAAUUUCACUACGCACUGCAACUCUUCAAGCGUUUUCCCCACAUUUCAGUGGUACAGACAGAGGCCUGGAGAAGGUCCUGUCCUCUUGCUGAUGUUAAUGAAAGGCGGAGAAGUGAAGAAGCAGAAGAGAUUGACAGCUCAUUUUCGUGAGGCAAAAAAGGACAGCUCCCUGCACAUCACCGCGGCGCAGCCUGAGGACGCGGGUCUCUACCUCUGUGCAGGGGCGCAGCGCUCUCAGGGCACCUGCCACCUGUACCCAAACCCUGCCGCAGGGCCCCGGUCCCACUGCCGCCGGCUUGCUCCAGCUCCUCCUCUGGAAAAGUGA